CGGCGGACGGGUGAGUAACGCGUGGGUAACCUGCCCCAUACAGGGGGAUAACAGUUAGAAAUGACUGCUAAUACCGCAUAAGACCACAGGAUCGCAUGAUCCGGUGGUAAAAACUCCGGUGGUAUGAGAUGGACCCGCGUCUGAUUAGCUAGUUGGUGGGGUAACGGCUCACCAAGGCGACGAUCAGUAGCCGACCUGAGAGGGUGACCGGCCACAUUGGGACUGAGACACGGCCCAA
rnacentral:rRNA from 1 species